rnacentral:rRNA from 1 species
AACGCUGGCGGCAGGCUUAACACAUGCAAGUCGAGCGCCCCGCAAGGGGAGCGGCAGACGGGUGAGUAACACGUGGGAACGUACCCUUUACUACGGAAUAACGCAGGGAAACUUGUGCUAAUACCGUAUGUGCCCUUUUGGGGAAAGAUUUAUCGGUAAGGGAUCGGCCCGCGUUGGAUUAGCUAGUUGGUGGGGUAAAGGCCUACCAAGGCGACGAUCCAUAGCUGGUCUGAGAGGAUGAUCAGCCACAUUGGGACUGAGACACGGCCCAAACUCCUACGGGAGGCAGCAGUGGGGAAUAUUGGACAAUGGGCGCAAGCCUGAUCCAGCCAUGCCGCGUGAGUGAUGAAGGCCCUAGGGUUGUAAAGCUCUUUCACCGGAGAAGAUAAUGACGGUAUCCGGAGAAGAAGCCCCGGCUAACUUCGUGCCAGCAGCCGCGGUAAUACGAAGGGGGCUAGCGUUGUUCGGAAUUACUGGGCGUAAAGCGCACGUAGGCGGACAUUUAAGUCAGGGGUGAAAUCCCAGAGCUCAACUCUGGAACUGCCUUUGAUACUGGGUGUCUUGAGUAUGGAAGAGGUGAGUGGAAUUCCGAGUGNAGAGGNGAAAUUNNNANAUAUUCGGAGGAACACCAGUGGCGAAGGCGGCUCACUGGUCC